rnacentral:rRNA from 1 species
AGAGUUUGAUCAUGGCUCAGAUUGAACGCUGGCGGCAGGCCUAACACAUGCAAGUCGAACGGUAACAGGAAGCAGCUUGCUGCUUCGCUGACGAGUGGCGGACGGGUGAGUAAUGUCUGGGAAGCUGCCUGAUGGAGGGGGAUAACUACUGGAAACGGUAGCUAAUACCGCAUAAUGUCGCAAGACCAAAGAGGGGGACCUUCGGGCCUCUUGCCAUCGGAUGUGCCCAGAUGGGAUUAGCUUGUUGGUGGGGUAACGGCUCACCAAGGCGACGAUCCCUAGCUGGUCUGGGAGGAUGACCAGCCACACUGGAACUGAGACACGGUCCAGACUCCUACGGGAGGCAGCAGUGGGGAAUAUUGCACAAUGGGCGCAAGCCUGAUGCAGCCAUGCCGCGUGUAUGAAGAAGGCCUUCGGGUUGUAAAGUACUUUCAGCGGGGAGGAAGGGAGUAAAGUUAAUACCUUUGCUCAUUGACGUUACCCGCAGAAGAAGCACCGGCUAACUCCGUGCCAGCAGCCGCGGUAAUACGGAGGGUGCAAGCGUUAAUCGGAAUUACUGGGCGUAAAGCGCACGCAGGCGGUUUGUUAAGUCAGAUGUGAAAUCCCCGGGCUCAACCUGGGAACUGCAUCUGAUACUGGCAAGCUUGAGUCUCGUAGAGGGGGGUAGAAUUCCAGGUGUAGCGGUGAAAUGCGUAGAGAUCUGGAGGAAUACCGGUGGCGAAGGCGGCCCCCUGGACGAAGACUGACGCUCAGGUGCGAAAGCGUGGGGAGCAAACAGGAUUAGAUACCCUGGUAGUCCACGCCGUAAACGAUGUCGACUUGGAGGUUGUGCCCUUGAGGCGUGGCUUCCGGAGCUAACGCGUUAAGUCGACCGCCUGGGGAGUACGGCCGCAAGGUUAAAACUCAGAUGAAUUGACGGGGGCCCGCACAAGCGGUGGAGCAUGUGGUUUAAUUCGAUGCAACGCGAAGAACCUUACCUGGUCUUGACAUCCACGGAAGUUUUCAGAGAUGAGAAUGUGCCUUCGGGAACCGUGAGACAGGUGCUGCAUGGCUGUCGUCAGCUCGUGUUGUGAAAUGUUGGGUUAAGUCCCGCAACGAGCGCAACCCUUAUCCUUUGUUGCCAGCGGUCCGGCCGGGAACUCAAAGGAGACUGCCAGUGAUAAACUGGAGGAAGGUGGGGAUGACGUCAAGUCAUCAUGGCCCUUACGACCAGGGCUACACACGUGCUACAAUGGCGCAUACAAAGAGAAGCGACCUCGCGAGAGCAAGCGGACCUCAUAAAGUGCGUCGUAGUCCGGAUUGGAGUCUGCAACUCGACUCCAUGAAGUCGGAAUCGCUAGUAAUCGUGGAUCAGAAUGCCACGGUGAAUACGUUCCCGGGCCUUGUACACACCGCCCGUCACACCAUGGGAGUGGGUUGCAAAAGAAGUAGGUAGCUUAACCUUCGGGAGGGCGCUUACCACUUUGUGAUUCAUGACUGGGGUGAAGUCGUAACAAGGUAACCGUAGGGGAACCUGCGGUUG